AGGGAUCAUUACCAGAAGCCGCGCCGGCGGAGACGCCGGCGCCUUCGCCCCACCCUUUGUGAACCGAACCUGAUUGCCCCGGGGGACCCCGCCUGCGCGCAGCGCGGGCCCCCGGCGGACCGCAUCCAACUCGUGUUGUCCCUGCCGUCUGAGUCUCAAUCAAAUGAAACAAAACUUUCAACAACGGAUCUCUUGGUUCUG
rnacentral:misc_RNA from 1 species